AGUUACACUCAUCAACCCUGUGAACAUACCUAAAACGUUGCUUCGGCGGGAACAGACGGCCCUGUAACAACGGGCCGCCCCCGCCAGAGGACCCCUAACUCUGUUUUUAUAAUGUUUUUCUGAGUAAACAAGCAAAUAAAUUAAAACUUUCAACAACGGAUCUCUUGGCUCUGGCAUCGAUGAAGAACGCAGCGAAAUGCGAUAAGUAAUGUGAAUUGCAGAAUUCAGUGAAUCAUCGAAUCUUUGAACGCACAUUGCGCCCGCCAGUAUUCUGGCGGGCAUGCCUGUUCGAGCGUCAUUACAACCCUCAGGCCCCCGGGCCUGGCGUUGGGGAUCGGCAGAAGCCCCCUGUGGGCACACGCCGUCCCUCAAAUACAGUGGCGGUCCCGCCGCAGCUUCCAUUGCGUAGUAGCUAACACCUCGCAACUGGAGAGCGGCGCGGCCAUGCCGUAAAACACCCAACUUCUGAAUGUUGACCUCGAAUCAGGUAGGAAUACCCGCUGAACUUAAGCAUAUCAAUAAGCGGAGGAA
rnacentral:rRNA from 1 species